AUUGAACGCUGGCGGCAGGCCUAACACAUGCAAGUCGAGCGGAUGAAGGGAGCUUGCUCCUGGAUUCAGCGGCGGACGGGUGAGUAAUGCCUAGGAAUCUGCCUGGUAGUGGGGGAUAACGUCCGGAAACGGGCGCUAAUACCGCAUACGUCCUGAGGGAGAAAGUGGGGGAUCUUCGGACCUCACGCCAUCAGAUGAGCCUAGGUCGGAUUAGCUAGUUGGUGGGGUAAAGGCCUACCAAGGCGACGAUCCGUAACUGGUCUGAGAGGAUGAUCAGUCACACUGGAACUGAGACACGGUCCAGACUCCUACGGGAGGCAGCAGUGGGGAAUAUUGGACAAUGGGCGAAAGCCUGAUCCAGCCAUGCCGCGUAUGUGAAGAAGGUCUUCGGGUUGUAAAGCACUUUAAGUUGGGAGGAAGGGCAGUAAGUUAAUACCUUGCUGUUUUGACGUUACCAACAGAAUAAGCACCGGCUAACUUCGUG
rnacentral:rRNA from 1 species